AGAAUCAACGCUGGCGGCGUGCCUAACACAUGCAAGUCGCACGAGAAAGUGGAGCAAUCCACGAGUAAAGUGGCGCACGGGUGAGUAACACGUGAAUGAUCUACCUCCGAGUGGGGAAUAACUGAGAGAAAUCUUAGCUAAUACCGCAUAAUACCCACGGGUCAAAGCAGCAAUGCGCUUGGAGAGGAGUUCGCGGCCGAUUAGCUAGUUGGCGGGGUAAUGGCCCACCAAGGCGAUGAUCGGUAUCCGGCCUGAGAGGGCGCACGGACACACUGGAACUGAAACACGGUCCAGACUCCUACGGGAGGCAGCAGUGGGGAAUUUUGCGCAAUGGGGGAAACCCUGACGCAGCAACGCCGCGUGGAGGAUGAAUCCCUUGGGAUGUAAACUCCUUUCGAUAGGGAAGAUAAUGACGGUACCUAUAGAAGAAGCCCCGGCUAACUUCGUGCCAGCAGCCGC
rnacentral:rRNA from 1 species